GAGACAGUUCGGUCCCUAUCUGUCGCGGGCGUAGGAAAUUUGAGAGGAGCUGUCCUUAGUACGAGAGGACCGGGAUGGACGUACCGCUGGUGUACCAGUUGUCUCGCCAGAGGCAUCGCUGGGUAGCUAUGUACGGAGGGGAUAAGCGCUGAAAGCAUCUAAGCGCGAAGCCCCCCUCAAGAUGAGAUUUCCCAAGUCAGUAAGACCCCUUGUAGACGACGAGGUUGAUAGGUUCGAGGUGGAAGUGCAGCAAUGCAUGCAGCUGACGAAUACUAAUCGGUCGAGGGCUUAACCA
rnacentral:rRNA from 1 species